GGGCUCGCUUCGGCAGCACAUGUACUAAAAUUGAAACAAUACAAAGAAGAUGAGCAUGGCCCCUAUGCAAGGAUAACACACAAAUUCAUGAAGCAUUCCACAAAUGA